UUUUAUGGAGAGUUUGAUCCUGGCUCAGGAUGAACGCUGGCGGCGUGCCUAAUACAUGCAAGUCGAGCGAACGGACGAGAAGCUUGCUUCUCUGAUGUUAGCGGCGGACGGGUGAGUAACACGUGGAUAACCUACCUAUAAGACUGGGAUAACUUCGGGAAACCGGAGCUAAUACCGGAUAAUAUUUUGAACCGCAUGGUUCAAAAGUGAAAGACGGUCUUGCUGUCACUUAUAGAUGGAUCCGCGCUGCAUUAGCUAGUUGGUAAGGUAACGGCUUACCAAGGCAACGAUGCAUAGCCGACCUGAGAGGGUGAUCGGCCACACUGGAACUGAGACACGGUCCAGACUCCUACGGGAGGCAGCAGUAGGGAAUCUUCCGCAAUGGGCGAAAGCCUGACGGAGCAACGCCGCGUGAGUGAUGAAGGUCUUCGGAUCGUAAAACUCUGUUAUUAGGGAAGAACAUAUGUGUAAGUAAC
rnacentral:rRNA from 2 species